rnacentral:lncRNA from 1 species
UUUAAGAACAGCCCAUUGUGUUAAAAGAAUAGCGGCUUCCAGUUUCAAUCUACCCCUUCCUUCCCCCUUAGCUUCCUGAUAAGAGAACCCAGGCUUGCACAAAUAGAGGUUAGCAAACAAACUUACACAAAUAGCUAGUUUAUAACAGGCUUACUAAAGUAACUGUUAGCAAAGAGGCUCUUGGAAGAUAGCUGAUAGCAAAGAAGGUCCUUUGAGGUUCGGGUUCACAUUUCAGCCUUGCUGGCUCGGGCACCUGGCAGCCGCCCAUGGUAAGUGAGGGACUGCUGUCUCCAGACAGGAAGAAGUGGCUAGCCAUGGAUGCAGUGACCUAUAAUGAUAUGCAUGUUAACUUCACUUGGGAAGAGUGCGCUUUGCUGGAUUCUUCCCAGAAGAAUCUCUACAAAGAUGUGAUGCUAGAGACCUAAAAGCAUGUACCUCACUACUAUAGGCAUGAAAGAAAUCAUCCUGGAGAGAAACCUUCUGAAUAUACACAAUGUAUUAAAGGCUUUGCAGAUCACUUUCAUCUUCAAUAGCAUAAAAGAAUUCGUACUGGAGAGAAACCUUCUGACAGUAUUCAAUAUGAUGAAGCCUUUGCAUGUCACAAGAAUCCCCAAACUCAUCAAAGAACACAUACUAGAGAGAAACCCUAUGUGGUAAUCAAUGUGGUAAAACCUUUGUAUGUCAAAGUAGUCUCCAUAUACAUAAAAGUAUUUUCAUGUAUCAGUAAUCUUUGAAAACAUAAGAAAAUACUGCAGAGAAACCCUCUAAAUGUAUAAAGAUGAUCAAAGUUUUGCAAAUCAUGGUAGUCUUUAUACAAGAGUAAAACUUUUAGUGUGUAAUUAGUACAUUAAAGCCAUUGUAUGUAAUAGACUUUGAAGAUCCAAUAAAACUCAUACCAAAGAGUAUCUGAAUAUAAAUCAUUUGAUAAGAUCUUUAGCUAAUACACAUUCAGUUACACAGGACUAUUCUGUAGAAAAAAUGACAAGUGUCAAAAUCUGUUCUAG